ACAUAGCCCCAUCAGACUCCACUAGUUCUCCCAGCUUCUCUCUAGUGCUCUUUGUGAAGACCGUUGACCAUAGUUUUUAAGCCAAAAGACCAAGAAACACCAUAGUGCAACAAUGGCCGACGCCUUAGCUGGAGAAGAGCAUACCCUAAGGAAAGGCCAUAUCAUCACUGAAGUAAAGAAGCAGUUAUGGCUUGCAGGGCCUCUCAUUGUUUCUGGAAUACUUGAGAAACUAAUUCAGGUCAUCUCCCUCUCAUUUGUUGGUCAUCUUGGAGAGCUUCCCCUCUCAGCUGCUUCUAUGGCUACUUCCUUUGCUAUUGUCACUGGUCUAAGUUUAUUGCUAGGGAUGGGAACUGCAUUGGAUACUUUAUGUGGCCAAGCUUAUGGAGCAAAACAAUACCAUUUGCUUGGAAUAUAUUUACAAAGAGCAAUGCUUCUUAAUAUCAUUGCGAGCAUUCCCUUUGCUUUCAUUUGGGCCUUCACCGGUAGAAUCCUGCAUGCCACAGGUCAAGAUAAAGAGAUAUCCAUGGCUGCUCAAUUAUAUGCUCGGUGCAUGAUACCGCUUUUAUUUGUCUAUGGCCUUCUUCAAUGUCAUUAUAGGUUCUUACAGGCUCAAAAUAUCGUCAUUCCUAUGAUUCUAACUUCUGGAUUCACAAUUUUAGUUCACAUCUUUGCAUGUUGGUUUCUGAUUUUUAAAAUUAAAGUUGGCUACAUAGGUGCUGCAAUUGCCAAUUCUGUAUCUUACUCUACAUCUUUAGCGUUAAUAGCGGCAUAUGUAUGGUUAUCUCCAAGAUUCAAGAAGACAUGGAUUGGCUUUUCAAGAGAAGCUUUGCAUGAUUUGUCAAGUUUAAUCAAACUUGCUGUUCCAUCUGGUUUAAUGAUUUGUUUAGAGUUUUGGUCAUUUGAAGCUGUCGUUAUUCUUUCUGGUCUUCUUCCAAAUCCCAAGUUAGAAACAUCAGUACUUGCAAUCUGUCUUACCACUGUUUCAUUGGCAUACAUGAUCCCAUUUGGUAUUAGUGCUUCAGGAAGCACACGCGUUUCAAAUGAAUUGGGUGCUGGAAAUUCACAAAAAGCGCGCUCAGCUGUAUACAUUGGAGAAAUUAUAUCAAUUAUUCAAGGUUCAAUUAUAGGAUCCAUCCUAAUUUUAGGACAUAACAUAUGGGGAAAACUUUAUAGCAAAGAUAUUAAUGUUGUGAAACAUAUUGCAAAAAUGAUGCCUCUUCUAUCAUUAUCCAUAUUCAUGGAUGCUACUCAAUGCGUCCUCAUGGGCACUGUUAGAGGAUGUGGUUGGCAGAAACUCGUCGUUGUUGUUAAUCUUGCAGCUUUUUAUUUGGUUGGCCUUCCUUCUGGUAUUCUGUUUGCAUUUGUUUUUCAUCUCAGAGAAAAGGGCCUUUGGUUAGGAAUUAUAUGCGGUCUCUCGACACAAGUCAUAUUACUCCUAAUUAUCACUCUAUCAACUAACUGGGACAAAGAAGCAAAGAAGGCUGAGAAUAGAAUUAACAGUUCCAUCAAUUCCAUUGGCAUGAUAACAAGAAGGAAUGAGGAAGUAAGAGUACUGGAUGAUGGUCACUAGUGUUCAUGGUUGAUAAUAAAACAUCAUGUUCUGCAUGUUGCACCAUUAUAUUGUGGUUUUCGGGGAAAACUUUGAAAGACCAUUGGCCUUCACUCUUUAAUGAUUGUAUUAAUCCAUGGAUUACAGUUUGCCAGUUCUCUGAACAAAUAAGUUCCCUGGAGAAUCCCUUUCACUCUACUUCCACUGAAGAGUUAUCAACCUUU